AUUGAACGCUGGCGGCAUGCUUUACACAUGCAAGUCGAACGGUAACAGGUUAAGCUGACGAGUGGCGAACGGGUGAGUAAUGCAUCGGAACGUGCCCGAUCGUGGGGGAUAACACUUCGAAAGAAGUGCUAAUACCGCAUACGAUCUGAGGAUGAAAGCGGGGGACCGUAAGGCCUCGCGCGAUCGGAGCGGCCGAUGUCAUAUUAGGUAGUUGGUGGGGUAAAGGCUCACCAAGCCGACGAUCUGUAGCUGGUCUGAGAGGACGACCAGCCACACUGGGACUGAGACACGGCCCAGACUCCUACGGGAGGCAGCAGUGGGGAAUUUUGGACAAUGGGCGCAAGCCUGAUCCAGCAAUGCCGCGUGCAGGAAGAAGGCCUUCGGGUUGUAAACUGCUCUUGUACGGAGCGAAAAGGCUCCCUCUAAUACAGGGGGCUCAUGACGGUACCGUAAGAAUAAGCACCGGCUAACUACGUGCCAGCCGCCGCCGUAA
rnacentral:rRNA from 1 species